rnacentral:rRNA from 1 species
UACGUAGGGUGCAAGCGUUGUCCGGAAUUAUUGGGCGUAAAGAGCUCGUAGGCGGUCUGUCGCGUCUGCUGUGAAAACUCGGGGCUUAACCCCGGGCCUGCAGUGGGUACGGGCAGACUAGAGUGCGGUAGGGGAGACUGGAAUUCCUGGUGUAGCGGUGAAAUGCGCAGAUAUCAGGAGGAACACCGGUGGCGAAGGCGGCCAUCUGGACCGCAACUGACGCUGAGGCGCGAAAGCGUGGGGAGCAAACAGG